UAAAUUCGAAAUAUUUGAUUCGCCAUUCGACCUUCCACGCGCCUCCGGCCUUUAAAACCUGAAAUUGUUAAAUAUGGGAUGAGCAUACAAGGUACACUCAGUGUGGGAACAUGCAAUCAUUGUCCACGUUAAUAAAAUGAGAAUCACAUAUGAUCAAUACAUUCGUAACUGAAAGUCGCACGGUGGCAUACCAAGGACCUUUCCGUCCUGGACCGAUUGAGCCGGCCCCUGGCGACUGGUUGCAACCAUAACUUUAACAUGAAAUCGCAUUGUGGCAUACCAAGGACGGUGAAGUCCUGGACCCAUUGAGCGGGCCCCUAGCGAUAUAUAAUUUAAUGCAACUCACAUAUGGUAAACACAUAAUACUAAAAUGGACAAAGAUUAACCACAGCAUGUACUGAAAUAAAU
rnacentral:lncRNA from 1 species